rnacentral:lncRNA from 1 species
UAGAUAGAGAUGGACCCGAUGGUUGAUGUUAGAAAAUUGCGUACGGUAAAACGCAGCGGAAAAAGAAAUCAAACAGAUUUGAUUUUGAAAAACUCUCGAGAUCUAAUCUCAAAACCACGCAAUUAGAAUCCCUCAUGUUCUUUAAGAUUAAAGGAGAAAAGUAAGAUCGAAUCUUUACCUUUUUCGCGGAUAAAUCCUUGCCUCAAUUUGAUGAUCGUGGAAUCGGGUUCUCUUGAAGCCGCACACGCGUCCGGCCUCUAUAGGUAUCUACACGAGGUUCUUGAUUUGAUCGAUGUCCUCACCGGGGUGCUAGCUCCCUUGCAAAAGGACGUCUAUUUGCUAGAAGAUGGAAGAGAGGAGAAGAGAUAUGACGGGCUGGGGUUUUCUAAAAACUCCCGUAUAUUAUAUAUAGGAAUAUAAUCCUAUUCCUAAUAAUAUAAUGACAAUUAAGGAUAAGUAUAAAUCUAGAUUUAAAUUUAUCUUUUCCUUAAUUGGUUAGAUCGAUCAAAUCCUAAUUUGAUUCGAUUUGAAUUUUAUAUUAAUUUAAUCUUAUCAAAUUAAUAAUACAACACUUGCACAUAAGUCCUCUUAUAAUUUACUAACUAUUAGUAAGUCCUCUCUUGUAACAUUUACACUUUAAUACCACUAAUUUGUAACAAUUACAAAUUAGUCCAAUUAUCAACAUAUUGACAAUUAGGUCCUCCGGCGAUUCAAUAAUCGCGAUCUAGCUAUCCGAUCAAUCACAACCUCUUAUGUGUGUGACCCCAUAGGU